GCUAUUGGUCGGUUGUGAGUGCGGUGGGCGGGGCCAGGAGGCGUUCUGUCAGUUGGAUACGCUGGUUUCCAUGGUCACGCAGGGAAUAAAAGGACAUAUUUUCGUCCCACAAGACAAGAGGGAGUUUGUCAGUUACCAAGAAAAGUUGUGGAUAGUUCCUUUUACUUUCACCUUGUUGUGAUUUGUUUUCUUUUCUCUCAUUAAAGUUAAAGGUCGCAUCAUCUGCCAGUCUGAAGCAGCCAGGGCCUGAAAACUAUGCAGGACGUAUUUCCAGCUUCACCAGCGGUUCCCAAAAGACGACUCUCUUGACCCAAAGUUCCUGUUUUUCCAGUAGCGCCUGACCUCCUCCAGCUCGUUCGGCCCGAGGCUCUGGUCGACCCCCGGCGUGGGCUGGUAGCUCAGAGAUCUGCAGUCACGCUGCCAUCAUAAGUCUGCACCAGACAGGGGCCCAACCAGACCUCCUCUCCCCCCUCUGACGGUCUCACCAGAUCCACGCGAGGAGCCCACCUACUGUCACUGCCAGGACCACUUGGCUCCUUCUCAAAGGCCUUUUUCAGGAACAACAGAGUCGAGGAGAGGAAAUGACAGCCUGAUCACAAGACGCCGCUGGUCCCACUCCCCCUCACUCCGGCUUCUAGGGCCGCCCUGCAAAAACACAAAACUUAACAACUAUUUCUGCUCUAGUUUCUAGUGGAAAU